AUGACUCUGAUCUCCGUCCUCAUCUGGACUCUCCUCUGCUGCUGCUUCACAGAGUCCAGAGGUCAGGUCACAGUGACUCAGCCUGGAGCAGUGAGCUCUGCUCGGGGAGCCUCCGUCUCCAUCAGCGUUAGGGUCAGCCCAAAAGUUUAUGUCGGGACUUCAAGUGGAAAACAUUAUUUGCACUGGUAUCAACAGAGAGAUGGGGAAUCUCCUAAACUACUAAUUACCAGAGGUAAUGAGCGAGCAUCAGGGAUUCCAGAUCGUUUUUCAGGCAGUGGAUCAAACUCAGACUUCACUCUGACCAUCAGUGGAGUUGAGGCUGAAGAUGCAGCAGUUUAUUACUGUCUGAGUUAUCAUGAAAUCAACAGUCAGGAGGUGUUCACACAGUGAAAAAGCGUCGU